rnacentral:rRNA from 1 species
UUGUCAUUGAUACUGGGCCUUUUGAAUGUAGUUAAGGUAGUUGUAAUGUGUAAUGUAGCGGUGAAAUGGUUCGAUAUUACCCCGAACGCCGAUUGCGAAGGUAGCUUAUUUAACUACGAUUGACGCUGAGGUACGAAAGUGUCGGGCGCGAUCAGGUUUCGAUAUCGUGGUAGUUCUCGCUGUUAUCGAUGAUCUCUCGUUGUUGUCAAUACACCCUCAGCGAGUGAGCGAAAGCUUUAAGUGAUCCACCUGGGGAGUGCUCCCGCAAGUUUGAAUCUCAAAGGAAUUGGGGGGGGCCCGCACAAGGGGAGGCACAUGUGGUUUUUUUCGAUGAUACGCGAGGCACCUUACGUGGGUUUCAUUGUAGAGGGUCGGAUCGAGAAACUGGUCUUUCUUUGGCCGGUCUGCAAGGUGAUGCAUGUCUGUAGUCAGCUCGUUCCGUGAGGUGUUUGGUUAAGUCCCAUAACGAGCGCAACCCUCUUCAUUAGUUGCCAGCGGGUAUUGCCGGGGACUCUAAUGAAACUGCCGGUGUAAACCGAGAGGAAGGUGGGGAUGACUUCAAGUCAUCUCGGCCUUUAUGUCCAGGGCUCCCCACGUGUUCCAAUGUUCGGUCCAAAGGGCAGUUCCCUGGGGACAGGAUGCUAUUCUUGAAAACCGAUCUCAGUUCGGAUUGCAGUCUGCAACUCGACUUCGUGAAG